rnacentral:lncRNA from 1 species
UUUGUUCUGAUGUUAGAUGAAGAAUUAUAACUUCUGUUUAUUUUCCCUUGGAGUAUAUUGAUUUUUGAUACCUUACUGAGGGCAUCCUAGCCUACCCUUUUAGAAAAAAAUUUGGUUGAAGCAGUAUAAUAGAUACAAAAUACAUAUUGCCUGUUCAAUUUACUUUUGAAAAUUGCAAUUAUAGAAUUUCCACUUAAAAUGUUGUGACCUUCCCUUCCCUUCCCUAAUACCAUAGGACUGUCAACACUGCCUGGCUUUAUUCCACUUGGGAAUUACCAGCAGGGAAAUCUGCUGUCCAUUAAAGAGCCACUGUCAAGAUCAAGAUUCAUGGUUCCCCCCGUGGCUGCACAGGAAAACAUUGUAUUUUUCGUCACCUGAUAAAGCUCAUUAAAAUGUUGUCUACAGCACUUUUCUUAGGUUAUUUUUUCUCAGUGGCAUGUUACACCAUUUUAAAUGAUUCCCGAGGGAAAUAAGGGCCCUGUUAUUCAGCUGAUGGGAUGAGAGAGGCAAUCUCUCACAUUCCAAAUGAAGGGAGAUAUAUUAAUAAAGAAAACAAUGAAAGAGUGCUCUGAUUUUCACUGAUCUAAGGCCCCUUUCCAUUGUUCUUCUUGGGAAUAAUAUCUGAUUAAAGACUGCAAGACUUGGUACAGUGAACUAUUUAAUGAAUGCUCUCACAGAAAGUGAAAUCUACUCCAACCUGCGCUUCUGACUGUAUCAAAUCAUGGAGGUAAGCAGUUAAUGGGAGGAAUAGCCUGGCAUUACAUGGCUGCUCUGAUAGGGACCCAAACAGCCCAUGUGUGCUAGCCCCAAACAGUCAUUAAGUCAGCACGCUACAGCAGGAAAUGUUGCUGCAGCAGUCCUACAC